GAUGAACGCUGGCGGCGUGCCUAAUACAAGCGAGCGGCGGACGGGUGAGUAACACGUGGGUAACCUGCCCAAGAGACUGGGAUAACACCUGGAAACAGAUGCUAAUACCGGAUAACAACACUAGACGCAUGUCUAGAGUUUGAAAGAUGGUUCUGCUAUCACUCUUGGAUGGACCUGCGGUGCAUUAGCUAGUUGGUAAGGUAACGGCUUACCAAGGCAAUGAUGCAUAGCCGAGUUGAGAGACUGAUCGGCCACAUUGGGACUGAGACACGGCCCAAACUCCUACGGGAGGCAGCAGUAGGGAAUCUUCCACAAUGGACGAAAGUCUGAUGGAGCAACGCCGCGUGAGUGAAGAAGGGUUUCGGCUCGUAAAGCUCUGUUGGUAGUGAAGAAAGAUAGAGGUAGUAACUGGCCUUUAUUUGACGGUAAUUACUUAGAAAGUCACGGCUAACUACGUGCCAGCAGCCGCGUAAAC
rnacentral:rRNA from 1 species